CAAAAAUAUCUACACCUGGAAAUAAUUUGAAGAAACAGGGCCAAUUUGGUUGAUCAUGAUUUAAAACUAAGGGUCUGUAGUUAAGCUGAACUUGAAUUGCUCUUUGUGGGAGAUUUUUCUGACUUAAGGCUGAACAGACAUUCUGAUCUGCUGUUUAGCUUUUCCUUGAAGACUGACAUGUCAUCUUUCUCAGGAGUUUCCUUGGAAACGAGCUGAGCAGUUUAUUUCAGGCUCCAGAUCUGCAGCUGCCUCUAAUGCAAAGUAUCUACUGAGAACCAGCAAUAAAAAUUGAUUGGAAAGCAGAGAUUUCCUAUAGGAAGGACUGAGUGGUGAUUGUUCAUCUGACCAUGAACUGGAUAAAUAAAAUGAAUAAAAUACGAAAUUGCUCCUUUUCCUUCUAGAUAUAUAAGACUGCCUAUGUGAAAUGGUACUUUCUCUGGGAAAGUUUAGCAGAGUCUGACAGAGGCACCAAGGUUUCCCAAAUCCAUGAAAAGUCAAAGGGGACGGAAAGCACACGGCAACCUUGAAGACUAAUUUGUAGUCAGCCUCAUGUUCUGCAGAGUGGAGUUCAGGUUCAGUCUGAGCUUUUGCUGUCAACCAAAGGACACAGACAUGUAUAAAUGAAAAUGUUUUCUAAAUAUAGCCAGUAUUCUGGUAAAAUAUUCAUCUUUUACUGUGUCUGACAGUAUGCAUUACCUUUGCAUUUUAUUGCUGAUAAUGAGAU